CUCUAUAUGCAUCGUGGUCAAUACUUGUCAAAAGAAACAAAGAGAAAACCAGAACAAAGCUUUUUGAACAACCUCGCCAUAGCUUCUCGAACAACCUCGCCAUAGCUUCUUGAAGUCGCACACCAUCCUAAAACCACCACUCCCCAUAAGGCCAUAAUCCAAAUUCUUCCAUCACAUUUUCAUCUUUGCUUUCAUAAAAUUCAUAAUUAGGGCUCUCACAUUGUUCAAUUCGUCAAUUUGUGAUUCAAUUCGUCAAUUCUUCUGGAAUUUGUGAUUCUUUUCGUCAAUUGUUUUCGUCAAUUUGUGAUUCUUUUCGUCAAUUCUUUUCGCCGUAGCUUCUGGAAUUUGUGAUUCAAUUCAUCAAUUCUUUUCGCUAUAAUCAGGGCUCUCACAUUGUUCUUCGAUUUCAGGGAGAGACCUAAGAUAUACUCAUUUUUUGUCUUAUUGUCAACUAUUUGCAACAGCGUGGAGAGAAGGAUACAUUAUUUACUUUUGAGGUGAUGAUUGUGGAUGAUGGGAGUGUUGAUAGGACGAAAAGAGUCGCUUUUUACUUUGUCAAAAAGUAUAAGGUGGAUAAUGUCAGGGUUCUUCUUCUUGGAAGAAACUAUGGAAAGGGAGAAGCUAUAAGAAAAGUGACUUAACUCAGGCUAGUCAGCAACUUCUACUUAGAAGGAAUGCUUCAUUCACGUGGUGAAUUACUUCUCAUGUUGGAUGAAGAUGGAGCGACCAAGGUCAAUGAUUCGGAGAAACUUGAAACCCAGAUCCGUACAGUUGCUGGAAAAGAGUUAGAUUUGGCUACUGUUGCUGGUAAUUCAAGUUUGGAAAUACCUGUUGUUCUUGUUGUUGCAUUUGGUUCUCGCGCUCAUCUUGAGGAGAAGGCUCUUGCCGCGGUUUUGCUCCUCGACCUUGAUCAUACCCUGUAUGUAUCUUUUACUUGGUCCUUCGAGCCCUCGACACUAUAGAUCUACAGAGGAUGAUACAAGCAUAGAUAACGACGUCAAAUUGCCUAUUCUGAGAAAUUUUCAUCAGCACAUAUAUGAUCGUGACUGGCAUUUUUCUUUACUUUCCAGGGAUUCCUAGCACGUAUUCCCAAGAGAUGAUUGACGAACUAAGAGAUAUGUGGGUGAAUUAUCUAAACAAUCAAACACAAGACGAUGGAGAUUGAAGACGAUGGUCAAGUUUGAAUUAUACAUAUUAUUUGAUUAUUUUAGAAUUUUAGUUUUAGUAGCUAGCAUUAGAUUAUAGAAACUUAGGGGGCGUUUGGUUGGAGGGUUUCAAGAAAGGGAAUGGGAAUUGAGUUCCUUGUUUCCCUUUGUGAGUGUUUGGUUAGUGUGUUUUUUCAAACCCUUUACCCCUUUUUCUUAUUAGGAUUACCCUCCUUACCCUUAGAUUGAUUCCCCACCACCCCCCAAGGUUUGGGAUUACCCCAUAUCCCUCUACCAUAAAAUUAUUAUUAUUAUUAUUAUUAUUAUUAUUAUUUAUUAUUAUUAUUUUUAUUUUUAUUUUUAUUUUUAUUUUUAUUAUUAUUUUUAUUUUUUUUAUUAUUUUUUUAUUUUUUUUAUAAUAUUUAUUUAUUAUAAAUAUUUAUUAUUAUUAAUAUCAUUAUUAUUUUUAUUAUCAUUAUUAUUAUUUAUUAUUUAUUAUUAUUUAUUAUUAUUAAUAUUACUAUUUAUUAUUUAUUAUUAUUAUUUAUUUAUUUUUACAUUUAUGAUUAUUAUUUAAUAAUAAUAAUAAUUAUUAUUUAUUAUUAUCAUAUAUUAUUAUUAUAAUUUAUUGUUAUAAUUAUUUGUUAUUGUUGUAUUAUUAUUUAUUAUUAUAUGUUAUUUAUUUAUUUAUUAUUAUUUUAAUUAUUAUUAUAAUAAUUUUUAUUUUAAAUAAUUAUUUAUUAUUAUUAUUAUUAUUUAUUUAUUAUUAUUUAAAAACUAUUAUUAUAAAUAUUAUUUUUAUUAUUAUUUUAAUAAUAAUAAUUUUCCAUUUCCUUUGAUGUUCCUAACCAAACAACAUUUUUAAUCAAAGGGAAACCCUUUCCAUUCCUCUUGUAACCCUUUCUCAUACCCUUUUCCUUUCCUCUCAACGAACCAAACGCCCUCUUAUUUUAAGACAUUAUUAGAAGAAAUUGAUGUUUUGAAUAAAAUUGGUUUCGUAUAUAAAUUAAAUGUAGCAAAUAUGUUUUUUGACAUGAUGAAUGAAGCAAGAAAUAAUUUAGUUUUAAUAAUAUUAUUGUGGCUAUUUAUAAA